GACGAACGCUGGCGGCGUGCCUAAUACAUGCAAGUAGAACGCUGAAGAGAGGAGCUUACUCUUCUUGGAUGAGUUGCGAACGGGUGAGUAACGCGUAGGUAACCUGCCUUGUAGCGGGGGAUAACUAUUGGAAACGAUAGCUAAUACCGCAUAACAAUGGAUGACACAUGUCAUUUAUUUGAAAGGGGCAAUUGCUCCACUACAAGAUGGACCUGCGUUGUAUUAGCUAGUAGGUGAGGUAAUGGCUCACCUAGGCGACGAUACAUAGCCGACCUGAGAGGGUGAUCGGCCACACUGGGACUGGGACACGGCCCAGACUCCUACGGGAGGCAGCAGUAGGGAAUCUUCGGCAAUGGGGGCAACCCUGACCGAGCAACGCCGCGUGAGUGAAGAAGGUUGUCGGAUCGUAAAGCUCUGUUGUAAGUCAAGAACGGGUGUGAGAGUGGAAAGUUCACACUGUGACGGUAGCUUACCAGAAAGGGACGGCUAACUACGUG
rnacentral:rRNA from 1 species